UGGGGAAUUUUGGACAAUGGGCGCAAGCCUGAUCCAGCCAUGCCGCGUGCGGGAAGAAGGCCUUCGGGUUGUAAACCGCUUUUGUCAGGGAAGAAAUCUUCUGAGUUAAUACCUCGGGAGGAUGACGGUACCUGAAGAAUAAGCACCGGCUAACUACGUGCCAGCAGCCGCGGUAAUACGUAGGGUGCAAGCGUUAAUCGGAAUUACUGGGCGUAAAGCGUGCGCAGGCGGUUUUGUAAGACAGAGGUGAAAUCCCCGGGCUCAACCUGGGAACUGCCUUUGUGACUGCAAGGCUUGAGUGCGGCAGAGGGGGAUGGAAUUCCGCGUGUAGCAGUGAAAUGCGUAGAUAUGCGGAGGAACACCGAUGGCGAAGGCAAUCCCCUGGGCCUGCACUGACGCUCAUGCACGAAAGCGUGGGGAGCAAACAGGAUUAGAUACCCUGGUAGUCCACGCCCUAAACGAUGUCAACUGGUUGUUGGGAAGGUUCCUUCUCAGUAACGUAGCUAACGCGUGAAGUUGACCGCCUGGGGAGUACGGCCGCAAGGUUGAAACUUAAAGGAAUU
rnacentral:rRNA from 1 species